rnacentral:rRNA from 1 species
ACACUCCUACGGGAGGCAGCAGUGGGGAAUAUUGGACAAUGGGCGCAAGCCUGAUCCAGCCAUGCCGCGUGAGUGAUGAAGGCCCUAGGGUUGUAAAGCUCUUUCACCGGUGAAGAUAAUGACGGUAACCGGAGAAGAAGCCCCGGCUAACUUCGUGCCAGCAGCCGCGGUAAUACGAAGGGGGCUAGCGUUGUUCGGAUUUACUGGGCGUAAAGCGCACGUAGGCGGACUAUUAAGUCAGGGGUGAAAUCCUGGGGCUCAACCCCGGAACUGCCUUUGAUACUGGUAGUCUUGAGUUCGAGAGAGGUGAGUGGAAUUCCGAGUGUAGAGGUGAAAUUCGUAGAUAUUCGGAGGAACACCAGUGGCGAAGGCGGCUCACUGGCUCGAUACUGACGCUGAGGUGCGAAAGCGUGGGGAGCAAACAGGAUUAGAAACCCCUGUAGUCCCA